ensembl:lncRNA
GCUGGCGCGGGCGCCGUUCCUGAGGACGGACUGACGGACGGGGCGGGCUCCCAGAGCCCCGCGCGCAGCCGGCCAGGGCCCCGCGACCAGGGCCGGGCCGCUGCCGCUCCAGCGAGGCCGGUUCUUUUCCACUGGCGCCCCCUGGAAGCCGGUUCUCAAGCAUGGCUGUUCUUAAGGAAUAAUGGUGGCGGUGAUAGUGACCACAGGAGCUCUUCGUUCUCUGUCCGUCAUUGAGCACCUACUGUGUACAGGCUGCUCCUACCACCAUCCCACAGGAAAAUACCGGGUUCGUCCGUCCACCUGAGUGAGGCAAAGGCCAGGGAGAGAAGGCCUGAAAUCCUCAGCCCUCUUAUCUUAGGCAAGAGGCUGAUGACGUUGAGGGAAAACGGGCCACACUUCCACUGACAGUCAGGAGUCUGCUUCUGUCGGGACCGAGUGUCCGGUGGUGAGCUCGGUGCUCCGGGAACCUCCACCUCCCUCUGCAGCUCUGAGAACCAGCCGAGACAGCACGGAGGACGGGCCAGACUGCAGGCUCGCACCCCGGCUUCCCCACUUGCUGGCUGGGUGAACACGAGCAGAGGGCCAACCCACACCCCCUCAGCUCUCACGUGAGGACGGUGGCCGUGGCUGGGAUGAGCGCCCACCAGGCUGAGUCCCUGUUUGCACCUGCUGACCUGUGUGGCUCCCAGAAUCCUCAUGAGCUUGUGAAGAAGUGAGCAGCGUUAAACAUCCUCAUAUUAAUAAUAACAGUGCCUGCUGCGAGGGUUGCUGUGAAUGGAGUGUGAACCACUGUGAACAGUGCCUGGCACAGAGUCCUGGUCCGGUAGACCUCGGCCUGUGGGAGCCCAGGCGGCAGAGCGUCCGUCAGCGCGGGGGCCGAGAGCGGAGACCCCGGGUCAGCGCUCUCUGCAGCCUUCCUCAGCCUGGGUCAGAUGGACGGCCAGUGUCACCAAAACCAGAUCAAGGAGGCACGUUUCCCCUGUCCACACGUGUUAAGACACAGGGAGCAAAACUGUCUUUCAUUUCUCGCUGGCUUUUACCGCACCUGCUAGCUGAGUGAGGGGGUGGAGGCCCCCGGGGCGGGCUUCUAACUGCUGACAAUUAAGAACUAGUGCGCUGAGUCCCGCAGGCUGCAGCCCCCUGCCCACUCUGUAAGGAGGAUCCAAAGGAGGAGGUAGGCGCCCCCCCGCCUUUUCUAAGGGGCUUCGGUUUGCACAAGUGCUGCGAGAUAAGCGCCUGCUUCUCUUUGGGUGGGAGGCGUUGCUGGGGCCUGUCGUGCGGGACUGAUAAGUGCCUGCUUCUCUUUGGGUGGGAGGCGUUGCUGGGGCCUGUCGUGGGGGCUGUCCCAAGGGCGGGCUGCUGCGUGCCGCCUGCUCCCGAGGCCCCUGACGUGCCAGGCGGCCGGGGGUGACUUGGGACGGAGGGGAGGGUGUGCCUCUGGUUUGUGGCUGCUGCCAGCGCUGGGAACGUGGAGCCCUGGCUUGAUCCCUGUUCCGGGAAGAUUCCCGGCCACGGGGCACCUGCACCGCCUUGGACCCAGGAGGCACACAGCAUGCCUGCCGGUGCAGCAUCCCGGGCCUGCCAGGCUCUGGAGAGGAGCUGCGAGGAGCCCCAGCUCCCAGUGGAGGCUCAGAGAAUUUGUGGUCCUUCUUUAACCCCCGUAGAAUGAGGGGGUCAGCACCGUGGAAACCAGGUCACAGGAGCCCUCUGGCCACCGGUGUGUCCUGUGGGAGCUGGCCAGGCUGGUGCCGAGUCCUGGACCAGCGAACAGGAGCAGCUGCUGCCGGUGGCUUAAAGCCCCGCUGAGAACCGAGGUCCCCAGACCUUCAUCAGGCAAAAGUCCUGGGCUUUCUCUCUGGGCUGUUGGCUGCGGAGAUCAGGCGUCUACACUGGCCUGGUCUUCCAAGUUCCUCCUCCUUCUCUCAAUU